AGCGAACGCUGGCGGCGUGCCUAACACAUGCAAGUCGAACGUGAACGGGGGCAACUCCUAGUAAAGUGGCGUACGGGUGAGUAACGCGUAGGUAAUCUACCGAAGAGUCUGGAAUAACCGGCCGAAAGGCUGGCUAAUACUGGAUAGAGCGAUGGAACUCGUAAAUGGGUUUUUCGGGAAAGGGAGGUUGUAAGACCCUUCGCUCUUCGAUGAGCCUGCGUCUCAUUAGCUAGUUGGUAAGGUAAUGGCUUACCAAGGCUUUGAUGGGUAGCUGGUC
rnacentral:rRNA from 1 species